CUGGUGGAUCUUGAUUGGUCAGUUCAAUUUUCAGCCUGCGGCCUCUAGGGUUUGGGGUUUUUUUUCCUCUCCUCCCUGCCUGGAGAAGUUUCGUUUCCUGUUGG